rnacentral:lncRNA from 10 species
GACCACGCCCACACCACGUGCUACCUUAGGGGUUGGGAACAUCUACAUUAGCGAAGGCAUGCAGGGCAUAAUCUCUGAUUUAACUGCAAGAAUCCACCAUAUUCCUGACCCUGGUUCCAAUAAAACUUUAUUUACAAAUCAGACAGUCGGCCCGUGGGCGAUAGUUUGCCAAUUUGAUUUUUAAAACCAUCCCAUUAAGAUAUUUUUUGGAUUAUUGAGUUUUUGGAUGCCUCCUUAAAUUUGUGCCUCACUUGCUUCACCCUAGUCCUAACCCAGCUGUCACUGACUGCCAGAGCCCUGAUGGAGGAGCCCAUGUUCUUACAAGGGUCUGCACCUGCUGUGGUUUGAAUGUGUUCCCCGUAUUUCAUGUGUUGGAAACUGAAUGCCCAACUUAGCAGUAUUGAAAGAUGGGGCCUUUAAGAGGUGAUUGGAUCCUAAGGCCUCUGCCCUCAUGAAUUGAUUAAUCCACGUGUGGACUAAUAGAUUAAUGGGUUAUUAUGAGAGCAGGACUGGUGGCUUUAUAAGAGGAAGAGAGACCUGAGCUAGCACACCCAGCCCCCUUGUCACAUGAUGCCAUGUGCCGCCUCAGGUCUCUGUAGAGUCCCCACCUUCAAGAAGGCUGUGCCCCCACCAGAUGUGCCCCCUCGACCUUGUAUUCCUCCAUAACAGUAAGAAAUAAACUCCUUUUCUUUAUAAAUUA